rnacentral:tRNA from 1 species
GGUUGUGGCUUAGUGGUAGAGCGCCUGCCUAGCGUGUGUGAGGAACUGAGUUCGAUUCUCAGCACCA